rnacentral:rRNA from 1 species
AAAUUGAAGAGUUUGAUCAUGGCUCAGAUUGAACGCUGGCGGCAGGCCUAACACAUGCAAGUCGAGCGGUAGCACAGAGAGCUUGCUCUCGGGUGACGAGCGGCGGACGGGUGAGUAAUGUCUGGGAAACUGCCUGAUGGAGGGGGAUAACUACUGGAAACGGUAGCUAAUACCGCAUAACGUCGCAAGACCAAAGUGGGGGACCUUCGGGCCUCAUGCCAUCAGAUGUGCCCAGAUGGGAUUAGCUAGUAGGUGGGGUAACGGCUCACCUAGGCGACGAUCCCUAGCUGGUCUGAGAGGAUGACCAGCCACACUGGAACUGAGACACGGUCCAGACUCCUACGGGAGGCAGCAGUGGGGAAUAUUGCACAAUGGGCGCAAGCCUGAUGCAGCCAUGCCGCGUGUGUGAAGAAGGCCUUCGGGUUGUAAAGCACUUUCAGCGGGGAGGAAGGCGUUAAGGUUAAUAACCUUGGCGAUUGACGUUACCCGCAGAAGAAGCACCGGCUAACUCCGUGCCAGCAGCCGCGGUAAUACGGAGGGUGCAAGCGUUAAUCGGAAUUACUGGGCGUAAAGCGCACGCAGGCGGUCUGUCAAGUCGGAUGUGAAAUCCCCGGGCUCAACCUGGGAACUGCAUUCGAAACUGGCAGGCUAGAGUCUUGUAGAGGGGGGUAGAAUUCCAGGUGUAGCGGUGAAAUGCGUAGAGAUCUGGAGGAAUACCGGUGGCGAAGGC